ensembl:lncRNA
AGUUCCUGCUAAAACUUCCUUCUCCUCUUUAUCACUCACACCUCCAACUUCAAUGUCAAGAAUCUACCCCUUGUCUCUACUUCACUGUCUUUAAAAAAAUAAAUCAAUCAAUCUUUCUAUUUUCAUAGAGGUUCUGUGAGAACUGAGGAGAAACAGCCUUUCUCCUCCCCUCUGGGCUCGUAACACUCUCUCCGCAUCGCCUGCCCCCUCCCUAUCUUUGCUGGCCAGUUGUUCACAAGUAGCUUAACAGUUUUGAGAAUACAAAAACAGGAAACUAUGCCCCAGCCCUAAGACUAAAAAACUCAUGUGCAAAUCCUUCAGCGGACAGAUUUCUUCAGCUUUCAAAAACUAAGGCCUUGAAAAAUCAGGUCCCAUGGCCAAGAUCUCUGGAUUUGCUUAAUCAUUUCCUUUGCAAAUUUAUAACCUCUUUAACCAUGAAGAGAGAUGGUAAGUUCCCGUCUUUAGCAGUGGUUUUUAUUUGAAGCCAGGGCCCAACCCACUUAUGUUGAUCCAGCGAAUGAAAUGGAAUGGAACAGAAUGGAAUAGAAAAGAACACAGUAGAAAUCUCAUGGUGCAUCACGGGUAAUAUGGGCAACAUUUAUUAGUGGAAGAUUUGUUUUGGUUGCUAAUGUAUGUGUAUAGAUUCAAAAUGUAUUUCUUGUUAUGAUUUGUCAUAAGAAAAGUGUAAAAGCCUCUGAUCUUUAAUAUAGUUCGGCGGCUAAAAGUGUGGGAUCUAGAGUCUACUAGCAUGAGUUUGAAUGUCAGCCUGUCCCUCUGACUGGCUGUUUGAUGGACAGGCUGAUUAUCCUCUCUGGACUCACUUACUUAAGGGAAAUACAACACAAUAGAGACAUAAAAUGAAUAUUGGAUAUCACAGUGUCUGAAUUUCUGGGGUCAUUUAUCUUCAGAAAAUGCCAUCCUGCCCCCUGUGUCUUUCCUUUGGCCCAGCAUUCUGCCGAUUGUCUAGGGUCUACUCACCUUAGGUGAAGCUACUUCCUCUAGCUUAACCUCUCUCGAUUUGAUCUCCCUUCAUUCCCUCUACCUCUACCUGCUGUCUCUAACAUCAUCUGUGGAAAACCAAAGCCAUUUAAUAUGUAAAAUUUAUCUUGGGAAAAUGGCUACAUAAUUGCAGACUGUCUUACCUACUAAGUACAAAUAUAAAAGCUAGACAAAAACCUUGAAGGCAUCCUAAAAGAGAGAGAAAGCGCUCCACUUCAAUUGAAAGCAACAAUAAGACUGACAGUUGACUUUUCAGCAGAGCUAAUGAAAGUCUUAGGACAAACUCCUUAAAAAAAAAAAGAUAAGAUGGAAAAGAAAAAGAAAAGAAGAAAGAAAAAAAAAGGGGGGUUGAAAAAACCCCUGGCAACCUAUAGUUCUACACCUAGUAAGAAAUAGCUAUCAAAAUUGAAGAUAACUAUGUUUUCAGAUAAACAAAAACUAAGUUACUAUAUUACCAGCAGAUCCUUACUAAAAGAAAUACUAAAAGAUACCCUUUAAGAAAAAAAUAAAAUGAUCUCAGAUGGAAGAAUAAAAAUGUAGGAAAGAAUUAAAAGCAACAGAAGGAUAAAUGUGUCGGUAAAUCUAAACGAAUACCAACUAUGUUAAAAGAUCAUAAUAAUGUCUUCUGGGAUUUAAAAUAUAUAUAGAAGGCCAGGUGUGGUGGCUCCCACCUGUAAUUCCAGCACUUUGGGAGGCCAAAGUGGGUGGAUCACUUCAGGUCAGGAGUUUGAGACCAGUCUAGCCAACACGGUGAAACCCCGUCUCUACUAAAAAUACAAAAAUUAGCCGGGCAUGGUGGCACAGUAGUAGUCCCAGCUACUCGGGAGGCUGAGGCAGGAGAAUCACUUGAACCUAGGAGGCAGAGGUUGCAGCGAACCAAGACUGUGCCACUACACUCCAGCCUGAGCAACAGAGCAAGACUCUAUCUCAAAAAGAAAUAAAAUAUAAAAUAAAAUACAAUAUAUGUAGAGUUAAAAUACAUGGUAGCAAUAACACAAAAGAUAGUCAAGGAAAAAAAAAGGUACUAAGCAUGUUCCAAAUUCUUUUAUUGCCUGAGAGCUAGCAAAUAUACUAAUUUUAUUAGAUCCUGAUAAGUCAGGAAUUAUCAUUGUAAUCUAUAAGGUAAUAAAAAAUAUAGAAAAAAACAAGCUAAUAGGAGAAGCACAAUGAUUGAAAAAAGACUUCAUUAAUUUAAAAGGUCAGAAAGGAGAAAAUGGGGAACUUGUAAAAGUUGAGACUAAUUAAAACAAUAAUAUAUUAAUAUCCUGAUAGUACUAUACUAAUAAUUACUUUACGUGUAAAUAGACUAAAUAUUCCAAUUAAAAGACAGAUAGAUUGUAUGCUAAAUAAAAAACAAAAACUCAAAUAUAAUCUUCUUACAAGAGAUAAGACCUAAAUAUAAGCACACAGA